AGAACCUGCCAGACACAAGAAGAUCUUGAAUUAGUGCAAGAUUAUUGCUCUAUCCUGCAUAACUACCAUCCUGUAUAGCCAUCUCCAUAGAAAAGCACUGACAGUCGAAUGGGACACACAUAAGCUAAAGUGCCAAACUGGUUUCCUUCCAGACCGCAGCUCCGCAGAGAUGAGCAUUUUCCCUCUCCUGACUCUCUAGGCAACACUUAAGCAUCUGAUCCAGCCAUUCAGGGAUGUUUGAAGUGCCGCUUAAAUGAUGUCACAUGCAAAAUGGCAGAUUUGAUAAAGACACUGAAGACACUGACUAUGGACUUUUAUGGGUGGUCUGCUAUAGCGACUUGACUUCUAUUGAGGAUGUGCUGUUUUUGACAUACUGUUUAUUAUGUUAGUAUGCAGUUUUGGACGCAGGCUUAAAUACAGAUCCACACAUAGCAUGGCUUAACAAGCUGAAUACAUCAAUUCUCCCUAGAAAAAAGAUUAGGUUUUUGAUGAAUCAUGGGUGCUAAAAGAAAAACAGACACACACACACACACACACACAUAAGUACACCUCCUUGAUUCUACACUUGUUUCAACAGACUGUAGUCCAUCUGUUUUCACUGUACACUUUGUCAGCCCCCUUUUACCCUAUUCAAUGGUCAGGACACCAACAGGACCACUGCAGGUCAUCACAUAGAUAGCCUGAGUACAUACAUUUCAAAUAGGCUGCAUCUCCUGCUUCUUAGUGUCAAAAAAACAACUAUUUUUCUGGUCAGUUCACAUGACUAAAAGUUCUUAAUUUGUCUUUUUUAUUUUUGCAGCUCAACAAUGCCACACCCUAAAAUGCAUAUUCAUGAGCUGUAGUGCAGUCAUGUGCACAGGCAAAAACGCUAUAUCCAAUAUUUACACCUAUUUAGUAGAGUGACUUACAAAAAGCCCAAAAACAGUGAAAGCCAAAACCAUGAUUUGUUCCCAGAUAUAUUUCGCACUAAAAGUCCAAGACUAAAGUGGCUAAAUGUGACUAAAAUAAUAAAAUGUGCAGUCUGGUUGCUCUAUAUUACAGCCUGAAGUAAGCCCUGUUUUACCACCUCUGAAGUUAUGCCUCUGCAUGCAGGUCACAUACUGAGCAGGAGAUUGGAUUCUGACUGAUGUUAGCAUGCUUUCAUGAGGCUGCUCCAACAAAUUGUGUUUGUACAAGCCCACCCAGCCACUGUUAGCGAGAUGUAUGCAAACAAUGUUUCUCAAAUCUCAGAAAAAGCGAAUUCACCGGGCUGAUUAUGGAGCCUCACCUUUUUGUUUUUCUCACACAGGCCUUUGAGCAGGGCGUCGAGCUCGUUCUCAUCCAUGUAGCCAUUCCGGUCCUGGAAGAGGACGAACACAGAUGUUUGUCAGACACACAGGAAACUUAACGUCAUGCCAUUUUACUGCCUUUUCUUUUAGAAUAAUCCUCCUUUGCAGUAAAAAAAGCUCUGCUGAUUGUU